GUUUAACUGUGAGGACUUUUGUGUGUCCGUACUGCCAGGAGAAUGGACUGGAUGAACUUGAUCUACGUGAUCACUGCAAUGAACAUCAUGCCAAUGACAGCAAACGAGUGGUGUGUCCAGUGUGUGUGCAGACGCCCCAUGGUGAUCCACAGUACUACAGCCGCAACUUCAUUGGCCACCUCAACCUGCGCCACUGCUACUACCUGGACGAUAUAACUAAUCUCAACCAGACUGAUGAGAUGAACAUUCAGUGUGCAAUUCUAGCAUCAUAUAGGGACAGUUUUUAAACCUCAUUUUCAAAAAGAUGACAGCACAGUUCUCAGGUGUUUUUCUGGACAACAUGUUAAAAAAUGCUUGGGAAGAAGAUUCUGAACCACAAGGACAUAAACUAUUGAGAAAUCAGUCAAAGAAAUUGUAUAUUGAGGAUGCUAUAUUGAUGUAUUUGACCAAUGUUAUGUAAAAAUAUAAUAUGUGUAUAUGUUGGAUUUUUUUUUUUGAUUGAAAUGAUUUUAGAGCAACAGAAAAUGCUUGAUUAUCUGAUUAUGAGAUAGUUUAAGAGGUAAUGCAUUUUCAUAUGCUAUCUGAUGCAUCUCAGGUAUUGAUCAUGCCUUUAAAAUUACUAGUAAUGGUUUAUCUGCCAAAAACUUUUUGUACAAUUGAACUCUUCUUGCACUUUCUUUUCAGAUAAAAUAUUUAUUGCAUGUACUGUACACUUAUGUUUGUGAUAUUGUUCGUGGGAUUUACUUCGUGGGGAAAAUGUUUGAAUGAAGGGGUCAAGUGACAUCAGGCUCUGUAAAUCUAUUUAUGCUGCAACCCCAUGUAAAAAAAAAAAAAUGCAAUAAAAGUUUGAAUACAAUAAUCUACUGUGAAAAAGCUCAUUUUUCAUCAGAGACUGCAGAAAAUGUGUGCAAUUAAAGAAAUAGUUUACUCAACUAUGAACAUUUACUGAAAAUUGACUCACCCUAAGGCCAUCCUAGAUGUACAGUAGAUGAGUUUUUUUUCUUCAUCUGAACAUAUUUGGAGAAACUUAGCAUUGCAUCACUUGCUUGAAGUGUUCCUCUUUGUCACACACUCCACAGAUGCUCUGUAUGCUUGUCUGACUUUCUUGCAAGAAUA
rnacentral:lncRNA from 1 species